rnacentral:rRNA from 1 species
ACGCUCGACACCUACGGAGGCAGCAGUCGGGAAUAUUGCGCAAUGGAGGAAACUCUGACGCAGUGACGCCGCGUGCAGGAAGAAGGUUUUCGGAUUGUAAACUGCUUUAGACAGGGAAGAAAGAAAUGACAGUACCUGUAGAAUAAGCUCCGGCUAACUACGUGCCAGUAGCCGCGGUAAUCUGAGCGGGCUGGCAAGGC